rnacentral:lncRNA from 1 species
GUCUUUUUGCCUUUUCUAGGGCCACUCCCACGGCAUAUGGAGGUUCCCAGGCUAGGGCUCUAAUCAGAGCUGUAGCUGCUGGCCUUCGCCAGAGCCACAGCAACACAGGAUCUGAGCUGCAUCUGCAACCUACACCACAGCUCACGGCAAUGCUGGAUCCUCAACCCACUGAACAAGGCCAUGAAUCGAAUCCGCAACCUCAUGGUUCCUAGUCAGAUUUGUUAACCACUGAGCCAUGAUGGGAACUCCCUGUGCCUCAUUUUAAUCAAUCACUUCUGAGCUUAAGAAAUUGUAAUGUUGCUGAAUGACAGAUUACUAUCCAAUUUACCAGGGCUUGGGAGUCCAUAUUGCUCUCAAAUGUGUAAGUAAUCAGGCUCCAAAAUCUUAGCCUGGGAUUUUGUUUUUUAGAAACACUUCUAAUUGUCUUAGUUCAGGCUUCCAAGAAAACAAAGCCUGAAGCAAUACUUCAACUUCCUAAUAAGAAGUGCAAUUUCAAUGCAGCAAGAAUGAAGGAAGAGAGAAAGUGGGUGAGAGCAAGAAGUAAACACAAGGCAGUGCAUUUCCACCCUGGUCAGUGUCUCACAAAACUAUGAAAGGGCUAUGCUUGGUACUCUCACUCUCUGGUCCCUCUAUAUGAGGUUUCAUAUGGGCUCUUAGAAUAUUUGAUCAGAAAAAGGAAGGGAGUAGUGAUUUAUGUACUGGCUCUUUUCUAUCUCUAUUGAUCAAACAUUUACCUGUAGGAAGCCAACUCUCCACACAAGGUUCCAUAACCUGGCUUUUUUUUUACCAACUGUUUAAGAGUUUAUACACUAUGCCUUUGGAUGUGGCAUUUCACUUGAGUGAAGAAGUCACUGGAAUAGUCAGAAACUUCUGGUAUGCAGAUGGUCCAUUUUGGACAGCUAAGAAGAAUGGAUAAAAAGACUUGCCACCAGACAGGCAGCUGAAAUGGAGCAAUUAGUCAAGGGACUCAGAGAUAAUGCAGACAAGAGGUUCUGAUUAGAUGAAGGUGUUGGGUCUAAUAUAUAGGGUAGGCUGAAUUAAAUGACCAGUCAAGGCACAAAUUCAAGCAAAUGACAAUGAGUAUACUGAGAAAAAUAAGAGAAAAUGGGAAGCAAGAAAUAACAGGCAGAUAAAAAUGAACAAAUGGGAGAUACCAAUUUGGAAAAGUAUAAAUGCUCAAUGAAAGAAAAAAAUGGAUGGGUUGAAAAAAGUCCAAAGUAUAGUUUCAGACAACUAUCAAAUAAAAUAUUUAAAUAGCGAAUGAUAAUUCAAACAGGAAAUAACAAAAGUAUCAAAAAUAAAUACAUACAGAAACUAAGCGAUAAUGGGUAAAUUUCUAAUUCUUAAAUUCCAUAACCAUUCAAAAGAAAAAGUAAAUAAAAGAGAAUUAGGUGUUUAUGUCAGUUUCUCAGCUGAAAAACUAAGAAUGAUUAAAAAAAGUCAUAAAUCUUUCAAACAUUAAAAAUCUGAUAAGAAAGCAAGGAAUUAUUAGACUAAAAUAUACGUGAAGAUAAGGAUCUGGAAAGGAUGACUGAGUAUUAAAGUGUUAAUUCAAUAAUCAAUAUAUGAUAAAAAUAGAAAAGAAGUUUUUUGUUUGUUUUGUUUUGUUUUGUUUUAAUGGCCACACGUGCUUCAUACAAAAGUUCCAGGCUAGAGGUCUAAUUGGAGCUUCAGUUGAGGCCUGUGCCUCAGCCUGUGGCAAUACUUGAUCCUUAAUCCACUGAGGCAGGCCAGGGAUUGAACCUGCAUCCUCAUGGAGACUACAUCAGGUCCCUAACUUAUUGAGGCAUAAUGGGAACUUCAGAAGAGAGCUUUAUUGGAGUCAAACCAAGGACUAAAGCCUGGAAGACAGCCUCUCAGAUAGCUAUAAUAAACUGUUCAAAAGAAGCAUGGUUUUGAGCACUUUUAUAUCUGGUCAAAACAAAGAACAUCAAACAUGACAGGAGUAUAUUCCUUCAAAGUUUCCAAAAAACACAGAUCAGCUGACACUGCAAGUCAGUACUGCCUUGACACCUGGGAAGGGAGCCUUAACAUCUAAGGAGUAUUCGUGUCGAUGUCCCAGGAAGGAAUGCAUUUAUUUCUAUUUUUAAAAUAGACAUCCUUUACUUCUGGACAAUGCAUCAUUUUCUUCAAUGGUUAAAACAGAUAUAUAAUGCAUGUUUAAUAAGCCACAAAAUAGGUUGUUUUGGUAAGCAUAAAGUUUAAGUUAAACCAUGUAUAAGUCAGAAUAACUUUCCCAUACUUCAAUGUGUAGAUAUCUCUUCCAUCAGGAACUACGCCUAGAAGCAUCUGCACAACAUCUUACACUGAUAAUGAGGUUUCACAGACUUAUGAGACAUGGGUAAUAGACUCUCGUGAAACUUGAGAUACUGUGGACUUCUGGACACAGGAUGAGUGCCUCUUAUAAUUUCCAGUCAAAUUUUUUUCAUUAUAUUUCAAUAUUUAUGUUUUCUAUUUUGAUUUCACUACUAAUUUACAGUUUUCUUUCAUUAUGUAGUAUUUUUAUACUUAUUGAAACUUGUUAGGUUUUGUGCAUAAAUAUAUAGUCUGUUUUAAUGAAUGUUCAGUAUACUUUUAUAAGAAAGCUUAAUUCUCUAGCAUUGGUGCACAAAAGGGGUUUAGGUCUUCAAUAUCUACCUUUAAAUUAUGUCAUUUAGGACUUCAUUAGCUUUUUGUUUCGUUUUGUUUUGAUGAAGAAUGGUAUUCUUAAAUUCCACUCUUAACAUAAUUCAUAUCAUUAUUGUGAAUUUCAGCCUUUAGAAUAAUAAAUCAUACUUCUUUGUCAAAAGCAAUUUUAUUUUAUCUUUUUAGGGCUGCACCCAGGGCAUAUGGAUGUUCCCAGGCUAGGAGUCGAAGCUGAGUUGUAGCUGCUGGCCUACACCACAGCAACAUCAGAUCCUUAACGCACUAAGCAAGGCCAGGGAUCCAACCUGCAUCCUCAUGCAUACUAGUCAGGUUCGCUAACCACUGAGCCAGAGUGGGAACUCCAAAACUGAUUUUUCCUAGACUUCCUUCUUGAAGGAAAGCUUAAUUUUCAAAAAAAAAGAACACAGGGAGUUCCCGUUGUGGCUCAGCAGGUUGUAAACCUGACUAGUAUUCAUGAGGAUGUAGGUUUGAUUCCUGGCCUUGCUCAGUUUACAGAAAUAAUUACUCUUAAAUAAGGCAACAAAUGAAAAAAAGAAAGCAGGAAACUGGUGAACACUACUAGAAAAUAUAAGAUGUAUGAUAAUCCAUAAACCAAACAUUCUGAUAAUUCCAAUGUAUGUAAAUGUUGUGAUGAUCAGAUCACAAGAUGAAAAUAAUCAGAUUGGAUUUUAAAAAAUUCAGUUUUUAUCAUGUCAAUCUAAAACAUUGCAAAGCAAAAUAAAUUAUAAAGAUAUAAUAUACAUAUACCCACAUUAAUGACUGGAAAAUGACCUUCAGACAAAAAGCACCUGUAGAGAUUUGUCAGGUCAUUUGAAAAUGAUAAAAAGUUUAUUUCAUUAGGAAAACAAACUGCUCUUUUUUCUCUUUAGGGCCACAACCAUGGUACAUGGACGUUCCCAGGCUAGGGGGCAAAUCAGAGCUAUAGCUGCUGGCCUACACCACAGCCACAGCAAUGCUGGAUCCUCAACCCACUGAGCAGGGUCAGGGAUCAAACCCUCAUCCUCAUGGAUAUUUUUUGGGUUUGUUACUGCUGAGCCACAAUGGAAAUCCCAGAAAAACAAAUUAUUUUGAUUUACAUGUCUCUAAUGAUACGAUCUAAGCAUGAAAAAUUAAAAACAUAUUACUCUGCAUUUUGUGAGACUACACUAAGAACCUGAGAACGACAGGGUUAACAGCAUUUUCUUUUAAAUUCAGUUUUCCUUUCUCCUGAAAAAUUAGUUGAUUCCAGGGCUACUUUUUGGAAAAAAAAUGCAUAUUUUCAGAAACCUAGAAGAUAUCAUCUUAACCAAAUGAGCAAGGCUACCAUCACAAGAGCAUCAUUACUUACUGACACAAUGUACUUCCCAACAGAUACAUUGAGAAGGACCCAACUCACUUAUGUGACAAACAUAUACUUGCUGAAAAGCAAAUUUACAUGCUUUUCUCAAUAUUUUCCUCCAGUUUUACAAAAUCUUUGAGAUAAAAUCCCUAGCUGCAAAUAUUUCCAAUGGUUCUGUCUCUCCUUGUGAUAACUGUGCAAGGUUUUUCUGACAGGCUCUGAUUCAGGAAAAUAAAUGAGGUGAGUUUCUUUCAAGAAGCACAGAUAGCUCAUAGCCUCUAAGUAUGGCUUUCAGAUAUUUGGUUUGUUGCUCUUUCAACUCUUUGCAACUCUUGGUCAAUACCAGUCUUUAUCACAUCUUUCUGCAGGGGAAGCCCGUGGAGUCCCAUGAGUCCAGAACUCAGAAAGAAACCUCAAGACUCGUCUUUCAUCAGUCAUCCUGUCUUCUAAAGACUCAAAGAACUAUGCAUUGGAUGAUUUCCUCAGGCUUUCUUAAGAUAGAUUUCUUCAUUACCAACUAUUCUUACUUCUUUUCAAUUUAAAUGUGUUUUUUUUUCUUUGAGAAAUGCUACCAUGUUGAUACAGAAAUAAUAAAGGGGGGAAAUAAAUAUGAAACAAUUUUUUCUAUAUGAUGAUCAAAUGCUGUGGUUUUUUAAAGAAGAUAUAUUGUUUGAUAAAAUGUACAUGGAAUAAAAACAAAAUAUAAACCCAUCAUUCUUUGCAGAUAUGAUAAAAUGUACAUGGAAUAAAAACAAAAUAUAAACCCAUCAUUCUUUGCAGAUAUAAUAUUGUACAUUAAAAAGUUCAAAGUAUUUAUUGAUAUAAGAAGAUAAAUGAGCAAAACUGUGAGAUAGGUCAAGAUACAGAAAAUAUAUCAACUGAAUUGACUAUAAACUAGCAGCAAAAAUGUUCAAA